CCUACGGGUAGCUGCAGUAGGGAAUAUUGCUCAAUGGGGGAAACCCUGAAGCAGCAACGCCGCGUGGAGGAUGAAGGUUUUCGGAUUGUAAACUCCUUUUGUUAGAGAAGAUAAUGACGGUAUCUAACGAAUAAGCACCCGCUACCUCCUUGCCAGCAGCCGCGGUAAUACGGCGGGUGCAAGCGUUACUCGGAAUCACUGGGCGUAAAGAGCGCGGAGGCGGGAUAGCAAGUCAGAUGUGAAAACCUAUGGCGUAACCAUAGAACUGCAUUUGAAGCUGUUAUUCUAGAGUAUGGGAGAGGUAGGUGGAAUUCUUGGUGUAGGGGUAAAAUCCGUAGAGAGCAAGAGGAAUACUCAUUGCGAAGGCGACCUGCUAGAACAUAACUGACGCUGAUGCGCGAAAGCGUGGGGAGCAAACAGGAUUAGAUACCCGUGUAGUC
rnacentral:rRNA from 1 species